rnacentral:rRNA from 1 species
CCUCAGUAGUGUACGGAUGCCGCCGCUUUCUUAUAUGGGGGGUGAUAGCCCUGUACGCGAAAAUCUCUUAGUCAUGAAAUCGAGUAGGACGGAGCACGAGAAACUUUGUCUGAAUAUGGGGGGACCAUCCUCCAAGGCUAAAUACUACUGACUGACCGAUAGUGAACUAGUACCGUGAGGGAAAGGCGAAAAGAACCCCGGAGAGGGGAGUGAAAUAGAUCCUGAAACCGUAUGCGUACAAGCAGUGGGAGCCCACUUUGUUGGGUGA